rnacentral:tRNA from 1 species
UGCUCUGUGGCUUAGUUGGUUAAAGUACCGGUCGAGCGAAUACGGAGUCGUGGGUUCGAAUCCCACCAGAAUGC